rnacentral:ncRNA from 2 species
AUAGAAUAUGGGGAAGAGGCCGCCCAGAGGCGGCACCAAAGGGGCAAACCGACGCUAAAGGCUGAUCGCGCUGGCGAAACUCUCAGGUCACGGGACCCCAUUACCAUU